AAGUCGUAACAAGGUUUCCGUAGGUGAACCUGCGGAAGGAUCAUUAUCACGUAAUAAUCCACGUUAUCAACCUUUUUCAAGUGAACUGUUUUGCACUACACUCUUUUUAAUUAAUGUGGCAUUUUCUGUUUGGUUUAAUAAUAAUAGUGAUGUGUUGGUUAUUGUACAAUAACCACUUCAUUAUUAUUAUGAACAAGAUUUGCUCUAUAUUAAAAAAGUGUGUAUGUAUUUACAUCUUAUUUCUUUUUAAACCAAUUGAACCAUACCACUUUUAAGAUUUUUGAACUGAUUUAACGAAAACAACAAAAGUCCAAGAUUGAAAAGUCUUGUCUGACUUAGUUUUCGUUACUAUAUUACGAAAACACUAGAACAACUCUUAGCAACGGAUAUCUUGGCUCUC
rnacentral:misc_RNA from 1 species